GGAAAAGUAAGAAAACAUCCUCAGUGUUUGCAGUACUACAGUAGGUGCGGUAUAAGGAGUUCUGCUAAUGACUGUUCUUUCAAGAGCAUCUUGGUGUUGCACUUCCUGUUAGGGAUCCUAUAUGCAUGUCUAAUAUAAGCACCGAACAAACUCCACCCCACCACUCGACGACAAAGGAAACUGUGCAGCACUGUUUGUCCAACAAGAUCUCCCUCCUACCAGUUUGAAGGCGGAGAGAUGGUGUUAGCAGUUAUUCCGUUCAGGCCUCAGCAGAGAUCACACGUUGGGAUGACACCAGUGAAACUGAUGAAGCUAUCUGUCAGUGGAACCUGAGGAACCAGAUUUAGCAAGUACUUACGACAUGUUAAAAUAUUUUCAUGAAUAACAAUUAUAUGCCAAAAUAUAAUUCUGUGGCAUGUUUUCUCCUCCUCUCUCACUCUCUGUCAUCAGUUUACUUUAUUUUCUUCUUCUACUGUAUUAUUUGUCACUACAGUACUCUCUAAUAGAAGCAGUUUCUCCUAUCCACUAACUUUUUUGAUUAAUUUUUUGGCCAUCUUUAUUUAAGCAGAAUAGAGAGGGCAGAAAAUUAUGGUGAGAAAGGGAACCGUGAGCAGGGUUCGAACCUGCAUCAUCCACAUGAGCACCACAGCUCAAUAGAAGGGCAUAAAUCAAAUGUGUUUCCUUCAUUCAAAAAUGUGCACUGACUAACGGAACAUUUUCCAUUUGUGGCCCAUAACUGUAAAAUAAACAACAGAGUUACCAACUGUACAUCUGCU